rnacentral:rRNA from 1 species
CGGGUGCACUGAUCCGGCCGGGCCUUUCCCUCUGUGGAACCCCAUGGCCUUCACUGGCUGUGCGGGGGAAACAGGACUUUUACUGUGAAAAAAUUAGAGUGCUCCAGGCAGGCCUAUGCUCGAAUACAUUAGCAUGGAAUAAUAGAAUAGGACGCGUGGUUCUAUUUUGUUGGUUUCUAGGACCGCCGUAAUGAUUAAUAGGGACAGUCGGGGGCAUCAGUAUUCAAUUGUCAGAGGUGAAAUUCUUGGAUCUAUUGAAGACUAACUACUGCGAAAGCAUUUGCCAAGGAUGUUUUCAUUGAUAAGGAACGAAAGUUAGGGGAUCGAAGACGAUCAGAUACCGUCGUAGUCUUAACUAUAAACUAUGCCGACUAGGGAUCGGACGAUGUUAUUUCUUGACGCGUUCGGCACCUUUCGAGAAAUCAAAGUGCUUGGGCUCCAGGGGGAGUAUGGUCGCAAGGCUGAAACUUAAAGAAAUUGACGGAAGGGCACCACCAGGGGUGGAACCUGCGGCUUAAUUUGACUCAACACGGGGAAACUCACCAGGUCCAGACACAGUGAGGAUUGACAGAUUGAGAGCUCUUUCUUGAUUCUGUGGGUGGUGGUGCAUGGCCGUUCUUAGUUGGUGGAGUGAUUUGUCUGCUUAAUUGCGAUAACGAACGAGACCUUAACCUGCUAAAUAGCCCGUACUGCUCUGGCAGUUCGCCGGCUUCUAGAGGGACUAUCGG